AUGAACGCUAGCGGCAGGCUUAACACAUGCAAGUCGAGGGGUAACAGGUUAGUAGCAAUACUGAUGCUGACGACCGGCGCACGGGUGCGUAACGCGUAUGCAACCUACCUUAUACAGGGGGAUAACCUUUCGAAAGGGAGACUAACACCGCAUAACAUUGUUUUCAGGCAUCUGGGAAUAAUUAAAUGAGCGAUCAGGUAUAAGAUGGGCAUGCGUAGCAUUAGUUAGAUGGCGAGGUAACGGCUCACCAUGGCGAUGAUGCUUAGGGGUUCUGAGAGGAAGGUCCCCCACACCGGUACUGAGAUACGGACCGGACUCCUACGGGAGGCAGCAGUGAGGAAUAUUGGUCAAUGGUCGGAAGACUGAACCAGCCAUGCCGCGUGCAGGAAGGAGGUCCUAUGGAUUGUAAACUGCUUUUUUCGGGGAAUAAUAAGACUUUUGCGAAGGUUGAUGCAGGUACCCGAAGAAUAAGGAUCGGCUAACUCCGUGCCAGCAGCCGCGGUAAUACGGAGGAUCCGAGCGUUAUCCGGAUUUAUUGGGUUUAAAGGGUGCGUAGGCGGUUAGAUAAGUUUGAGGUUAAAUGCUUCUGCUCAACAGGAGUUUGCCUUGAAAACUGUCUGACUAGGAUGUAAACGGCGCAGGCGGAAUGAAUCAUGUAGCGGUGACAUGCAUAGAUAUGAUUCAGAACACCGAUCGCGAAGGCAGCUUGCGAGGAUACGAUUGACGCUGAAGCACGAAAGCGUGGGUAUCGAACAGGAUUA
rnacentral:rRNA from 1 species